GGACCCGCACAAGCAGUGGAGCAUGUGGUUUAAUUCGAAGAUACGCGCAGAACCUUACCAACACUUGACAUGUUCGUCGCGAGACUAAGAGAUUAGUCUUUUCAGUUCGGCUGGACGAAACACAGGUGCUGCAUGGCUGUCGUCAGCUCGUGUCGUGAGAUGUUGGGUUAAGUCCCGCAACGAGCGCAACCCCCUACUUUUAGUUGCCACCAUUUAGUUGGGCACUUUAAAAGAACUGCCAGUGAUAAGCUGGAGGAAGGUGGGGAUGACGUCAAGUCCUCAUGGCCCUUAUGUGUUGGGCUACACACGUGCUACAAUGGUACUUACAAUGGGAAGCAAAGAGGCGACUCCUAGCUAAUCCCUAAAAUGUACCUCAGUUCGGAUUGUACUCUGUAACUCGAGUGCAUGAAGCUGGAAUUGCUAGUAAUCG
rnacentral:rRNA from 1 species